rnacentral:rRNA from 1 species
AGAGUUUGAUUUUGGCUCAGGAUGAACGCUAGCGGCAGGCUUAACACAUGCAAGUCGAAGGGCAUCGCGGGGAGUGCUUGCACUCCCUGGCGGCGACUGGCGCACGGGUGAGUAACACGUAUGCAACCUGCCCUCCACAGGGGGACAACCUUCCGAAAGGGAGGCUAAUCCCGCGUAAAUCUCGAUGGGGCAUCCCAUUGAGAGGAAAGCUUCGGCGGUGGAGGAUGGGCAUGCUGCGCAUUAGCUAGUCGGCGGGGUAACGGCCCACCGAGGCGACGAUGCGUAGGGGUUCUGAGAGGAAGGUCCCCCACACUGGUACUGAGACACGGAUCAGACUCCUACGGGAGGCAGCAGUGAGGAAUAUUGGUCAAUGGGCGGGAGCCUGAACCAGCCAAGCCGCGUGAGGGAAUAAGGCCCUAUGGGUCGUAAACCUCUUUUGUCGGGGAACAAAAGCGGGGACGCGUCCCCGUCUGCGUGUACCCGAAGAAAAAGCAUCGGCUAACUCCGUGCCAGCAGCCGCGGUAAUACGGAGGAUGCGAGCGUUAUCCGGAUUUAUUGGGUUUAAAGGGUGCGUAGGCGGUAUGGUAAGUCAGCGGUAAAAGCCCGGGGCUCAACCCCGGCGAGCCGUUGAAACUGCCGUGCUAGAGAGGAAGAGGAGUAGGCGGAAUGCGCAGUGUAGCGGUGAAAUGCUUAGAUAUUGCGCAGAACUCCGAUUGCGAAGGCAGCCUACCGGCUUCUGUCUGACGCUGAGGCACGAAAGCGUGGGUAUCGAACAGGAUUAGAUACCCUGGUAGUCCACGCAGUAAACGAUGAAUGCCGGCUGUCCGGUCCGACUGAGGGCUGGGUGGCGAAGCGAAAGCGAUAAGCAUUCCACCUGGGGAGUACGCCGGCAACGGUGAAACUCAAAGGAAUUGACGGGGACCCGCACAAGCGGUGGAGCAUGUGGUUUAAUUCGAAGCAACGCGAAGAACCUUACCCGGCCUUGACAUCCCUCCGGCGCGCCCGCAACGGGGCGUUCCCCUCGGGGCGGAGGAGACAGGUGGUGCAUGGUUGUCGUCAGCUCGUGUCGUGAGAUGUUGGGUUAAGUCCCGCAACGAGCGCAACCCCCAUUCCCAGUAGCCGGCGAGAGAGACGGGCACUCUGGGGAGACUGCCGGGGACAACCCGGAGGAAGGCGGGGACGACGUCAAAUCAUCAUGCCCCUUAUGGCCGGGGCUACACACGUGCUACAAUGGCGCGGACAAAGGGAUGCGAAGCGGCGACGCGGAGCGAAUCCCGGAAAAAGCGCCCCAGUUCGGAUUGCAGCCUGCAACUCGGCUGCAUGAAGCCGGAAUCGCUAGUAAUCGCGGAUCAGAACGCCGCGGUGAAUACGUUCCCGGGUCUUGUACACACCGCCCGUCAAG